rnacentral:rRNA from 1 species
CCUACGGGUGGCAGCAGUGAGGAAUAUUGGUCAAUGGACGAGAGUCUGAACCAGCCAAGUAGCGUGAAGGAUGACUGCCCUAUGGGUUGUAAACUUCUUUUAUAUGGGAAUAAAACGUUCCACGUGUGGGAUUUUGUAUGUACCAUAUGAAUAAGGAUCGGCUAACUCCGUGCCAGCAGCCGCGGUAAUACGGAGGAUCCGAGUGUUAUCCGGAUUUAUUGGGUUUAAAGGGAGCGUAGGUGGAUUGUUAAGUCAGUUGUGAAAGUUUGCGGCUCAACCGUAAAAUUGCAGUUGAAACUGGCAGUCUUGAGGACAGUAGAGGUGGGCGGAAUUCGUGGUGUAGCGGUGAAAUGCUUAGAUAUCACGAAGAACUCCGAUUGCGAAGGCAGUUCACUGGACUGCAACUGACACUGAGGCUCGAAAGUGUGGGUAUCAAACAGGAUUAGAUACCCCUGUAGUC